AAUUUUCAUUUCCUUUUCACACAUCCUUCCAAGCUCGGCUUAUCGCCCCCACUACAGUUUUUAGGACAAACCUCAAGAGUAUGAAAUUUCAGAGAUGAACAUAAGGACUGAGGUUGGGACAUCACUAGCACAGGACUGUUACUCUUGGUUAAUCUGGGCCAGAGUCGGCAAGGAGUGUGCCCCAAAGAAGAAGCGAGACUGAAGAACAGGCGAGCCUGGAUAACAUCUUUCUAAAAAAUGCAGUUUACAACUGAAUCUCAGUUGAACAUCUCAGACUUUCAUCCGGUUGCAAGUCAUGGUGAUAAAAAACUAGACUGCACAUUGACCUUGUUAUUAUGAAAACCAAACAAGACAUCAGUGGACAAAUGACUGAAAAAAACAUUUCUUGGGCAUCAUAUCACCUCGACCAAAUCUUUCCUCAUAGUGGAACUGAUCUUAGUAUUCCUUGCAAUGUGCACAAUUCUGGCAAAGGAUUCAUGCAGAGAAUAUUCAUUCUGAUAUUUUAUAUUUUAUUUUGUCUCAACAAAAUGUUCGUCGUGACUCACAAAAUUGAUCACAUGACCUACUAAAUGGGUCACACGCAUAAUGUGAAGAACACUCAUACAGACAUGUUUUCCUCUGUUGUGUUGGUAGCUUGACUAUGUCAGUUUGAUGAUCAAAGAAACCAGCUGACUUGCGAAACUGUUGGCUGAUACAGGAAAUUUCUUGAAGUGGAAGGUAUAUAUAUCUCAGAUUUUCAUCCCUGAUACUUUUUGAUGGGGAGGAUUUUUAAGAGUGCCAGUUAUGGUCUGAUCUAGAGAGGAUCCAAUGAGGUUUUCCAUGGUUAGGUCAGCUAUAAGGUUGGAGCUGGUGACAUAUUUUUUAAAUUUUCUUGGAAUGCAUCCUUGACCUGGGAAUAAGACCAGAGAUAUGACAUUAAGCAUGACAACACAGAGCAAUGUUAUUGCCAGCUUUAGAGGCUUUUACAAUAUCCAAGGUCAUGGGUGCUGAAGCAAAAAGCCUGCAGCGUCCUCAACACCACGUCAUAUAGGCUUAGGCCUGUUUCUCUAAGCCAAACCCUGCCGGAGUCCCGUUCCAGCAGGGCCAGGAGCACCCACGGAUGGACGGCGUUGGCGAAAGAGUGAGAGAGCCAGUCAAGGUUUGAUCACCAUGCAGGCAACUCUGCAAGGCUGUCUUUAUUUGUGGUAUUUAUACAAUUUUAUCAGACAGGUGAUUUCACGUUGUGGCCAAGUUGAUUCUUACACCUUCAUUGUUUACAUUGUUGACCUAUUUUCUAUACCCAGAUGUGGUCAUGGGCCUUUUUCGACUUGGCUGAACGUCAUCACCCUUAUGAUUUCUUAAAUUAUCCUCCUAGCCCUCUACCUAGUUAAUCAUUACCUUUCAACCUAUUUUCAAUUCUAUUUAACUGAAGACUAUUUCAUAAAAACAAGCACAAAAAGAAAAGGUCACAAAGGUCCCAGCCAACUGGCGCCUGGAACCCAAACAGUGGGCUGAUUAUUGUUCUUAUUACCUACAAGGAAAGCUAUAGAUAUCCAUCUUAUGUUUUUUACAGAGCUGGCGGCACACAUUGUCUUUAAGGCGUAAGGCAUGACACACCAUGGGGGCCCUGAUCUUUUGAUUUGUUCCCAAGUACUUAAUGUGCCCUGCACAGUCAUCAUCAUAGCCCCUAUUAUUUCCCCAGGUUGAGAAUCAUCCUGUACAGUUUUCAAAAAGCCCAUGUAUCCCAAAGAUAUCCCCAAUCCAAUUAUAGGCCCUAUGAACAACAGAAGGAAAUGCUAGUAUUUUCCAGAGUGGCGACUGCUUUGCCAUCCGCACGACCAUUUUGCCCCGACUUUGUCAAGGGCCAUCGACAUUGGUGGAAUGGCUCCCAGCAAAACCCCCUCGGCCAAGAUUGGUAGAUAGAAAAAAUGAUGUCAGUCAGACCCAGAAGUCGGCUUCAGGAGUUGUAAAUUACGCUGACAAAACUAAAUCCAGCACACCAAGGAGAAGCACGGCUCACUCGCUGUAUGUACUUCCUCAAGUUUGGCCAUGCGCCUCGUGGAAGUACUUACUGCACUGCUCUCUGAACCUGUCAGCAUGAAACACAGCACUUCCUUACAAACCUCUCCAUCAAGUUAUGCCGUUUGUGGGAGGAGACAGGUCUUACAUUUACCGUAGUGUUUAUUAGAAAUUAAAGGUCUUAACGAUGUCAAUACUUUUAUUAGGACUACUUGAGCUAACUGUAUUUCCUUAUUUUCUGUAUUCUUGAUGCUCUGGCAUCUGAGUUCUCACUAAACAGAGAGGGACUGUUCCUUCCAAGGUUAGCUAAUUCCUAAGGGCAAACCACUUGACUGAUAGUAAACACAGCCCAGGAACACAGUGUUCAAACCACAGGUAUUCCCCUGCCCUGGUCACCCUGGGGCCAGGCACCAGGUAACUAGGCACAGCCCCCAUGCCCCGAAGCCCAGUGAAAUUAUUCAAAAAGCCAAUCUGAAACCUGUUUGCUGGGUCUGGCCAAUUCUCUCCCCAGAAAACCCAGAUACAGGCUUUUCCACAGUUCCCCUUCCGCUCCCUCUCCCUCCUGCCCAAUCCUGGGGCUCCCCAGCGUGCCCCCCGUCCUCCGCUGUGUGGCGUGGCAAUGGCACGCUCUUCCUCCUGUAUCUAGGGGUAAGUAUAAAAACCACCUGCUUCAUGAGAGCCAUUUCUGUGUCUGUGUGUAUUAUCACACCUGAUUAAAACAAAUCCUGGGUAAACCAUUUUUAUUUUGUUAUUGCUCUGGUUAUAAAGUGGUACGGUUUGGCCCUAAUCCUAUUUUCCCCAUAAGGUCUGUUAUUUUUUAGAACAGAUUUUGCCUUCCAUGAGUUCUUCUAGGAAGUCAGUGUUGAAGCUGAAACACCCAUAUCUUGAGAUUACUUUUAUUACUUGCCUGGCGCAUAAAUUCCCCCAAUCACUUGAUAAGAAGAUUGGAAUCCCUCAGUUUUGGGGAUAUAUUAAAUAUUUUUCAUUCUAGCUAUCACCCAUCCUUCCUCCAUGAGUGAACAGAGUACAGUACAUAAAUAAGUAUCGGUUUCGAUAAUACUAGGCAGCACUCAAAACUGUCCUACAAAUUAUCUGCAUGCCAUCAAUUUUCAUCAGCCUGUCACCACUGUAUUUAUGUGGAGGCUAGUCUUUUAAUAAUAAAGACAGCCUUUGAAAGAGCCAUCAUAAGGCAUAAUGACCUUGAAACAAGAAAGAUGUUGCCAGAGGGAGGAAGCCAUAGCCUUGGUGAGAUUGUUCCUUGAGACUUCAUUAAUUAUAUUUAUAUGGGCUUUACUCUUAACUGUAAACUUGAAGGAGACUUACAGUAUACCAUGUAUAAUGCAUUUUUUAAUUUAAUAAACUUUUUAAAAGAACAACUUAGGUUCAUAGCAAAAUUGAACAAAAGGUAGAGGUUUCCCAUAUAUUUCCUGCCCCCACAUAUGCAUGGUCUUCUCUGUUAUCAACACCGUCCACCAAAGUGGUACAUUUAUUACAACUGAUAAACCUACACUGACACAUCAUAAUCAAAAUUUGUAUUAGGAUUCACUCUUGAUGGUGUACAUUCUAUGGGUUUUGACAAGUGUAUAAUGACAUGUAUCCAUCAUCAUGGUAUCAGAGUAUUUUCACUGCCCUAAAAAUCCUUUGCUCUGCCUAGUCAUCCUUGCCUUCCUCCAUCCCCCCAAUCUCUGGCAGCCAUUGAUUUUUUUUUUUAAAUCAGCUCAGCUCGUUUUGCCUUUUCCAGAAUGUCAUACUGUUGGAAUUACAUAGUAUACAGA